UAUCCAGAAGCUGAUGGAAGUAGAAGCAGAUACCCAUAGCUAAACACUGAACUGAACUGGAAUCCAGUUGCAGAGAAGGAGUGAUGAGUAAAGUGGUCAAGACCACACUGGUGAAACCCACAGAAACUCCUGACCUGAAGAAGAGGGAGCUCUUGGACUCCAGAGUGAUCACUGGGAAACCAGCAUGGAACUGAUACGGACCCCAUAAAUCUGCUAAACCUUUGACCUACAAACUGUCCUGCCUGCAAGAUGUGCUGAGGCAAUGGUAGUGCAGAACUUGUGCAGGUGGCCAACCAAUGACUGGUCCAAUUUGAGGUCCACACCCCAAGCCAAACCUGACACUGCCGGGAUGGUCAGGAACCAGAGGGAACAGGAAUGAGUUGCAGUUCCAGUCACACUGAGAUGAUUUCAAAGCCCAUGGACAUGCUACUAGACUCUGUCCAAUGGAACACUAAGAAAGAGAAGCCUCUUUAUGUAGUAGAUGGCUAUGAACACAGAGACCCACACUUGUCAAGGUCAGAGAAUGAGACCACAGAAUUCUCAACCUUAAGUAGCACAUCUAUACCACACUCUCUCCUAUGGCUCGGGGAUCAUCAAAGAGAAGAGGACAUUGGUAACUGAUAGCUGCUGAGAGAGUGGAAGUCGGUUUUCUUUAUGGGUGUGGCUCCUGAUAAGCUGACCAUGCUUCAGUGAUGACUUCACAUCUAAAGGAAGCACUCAAUCAGAAGAAAACAACCACCUCAUGCCACUAUUAGCUCACCCAUGUGGAGUGCAUCCUCUGAGCCUUAGGUGAGAUGUUCUGGGAUUCUACCUCUGACCCUUCUGUUCUGCUGCUUCCUGUUCACACUGCAGUGAUCACAGCUGAUCCUGAAAAAUGACAUUUGUUUUGUUUUACUUACACUGGAAUUGCUUCUAGUUUUUCUCUUUGCACUUGAUGAGGUGGUUGUCAACUAAGAUUCUGUUUCUUCCUCAUCAGAGGGAUUAUACCUGGGGCCUAAGGGAUUUAUACUCUCUUGACAAUCUGAGGUCUCCAGGGAUGACUUGGAAUUGGAUAAACAAUAAUUGUUAGUGAUUUUAAAAAUUAUAUUAGUCACAAUAAAGGGUUUCAUUAUUAUAAUUUUAUAGGGACAUAUAAUAUGUUUGAUUAUGUUUGUUUCCUAUUAACCUCUCUUACUCCCUUCUACUC